rnacentral:rRNA from 1 species
UACGUAGGUGGCAAGCGUUGUCCGGAUUUAUUGGGCGUAAAGCGAGCGCAGGCGGUUCUUUAAGUCUGAUGUGAAAGCCCCCGGCUCAACCGGGGAAGGUCAUUGGAAACUGGAGAACUUGAGUGCAGAAGAGGAGAGUGGAAUUCCAUGUGUAGCGGUGAAAUGCGUAGAUAUAUGGAGGAACACCAGUGGCGAAGGCGACUCUCUGGUCUGUAACUGACGCUGAGGCUCGAAAGCGUGGGGAGCAAACAGG